rnacentral:tRNA from 1 species
GACUGGCUCAGUGGUAGAGCAUCAGUUUGGCAUGCAGGAGGUUCCAGGCUCAAUCCCCUGCAUAUCCA